AGAACGAACGCUGGCGGCAUGCCUAAUACAUGCAAGUCGAACGAACUCUUCGGAGUUAGUGGCGCACGGGUGCGUAACGCGUGGGAAUCUGCCCCUUGGUUCGGAAUAACAGUUGGAAACGACUGCUAAUACCGGAUGAUGACGAAAGUCCAAAGAUUUAUCGCCAAGGGAUGAGCCCGCGUAGGAUUAGCUAGUUGGUGAGGUAAAGGCUCACCAAGGCAACGAUCCUUAGCUGGUCUGAGAGGAUGAUCAGCCACACUGGGACUGAGACACGGCCCAGACUCCUACGGGAGCAGCAGUAGGGAAUAUUGGACAAUGGGCGAAAGCCUGAUCCAGCAAUGCCGCGUGAGUGAUGAAGCCUUAGGUGUAAAGCUCUUUACCCGAGAUCGAUAAUGACAGUAUCGGAGAA
rnacentral:rRNA from 1 species